UAUGAACCGUUAUAACCGGCGAUUUCCGAAUGGGGAAACCCAGUGUGUUUCGACACACUAUCAUUAACUGAAUCCAUAGGUUAAUGAGGCGAACCGGGGGAACUGAAACAUCUAAGUACCCCGAGGAAAAGAAAUCAACCGAGAUUCCCCCAGUAGCGGCGAGCGAACGGGGAGGAGCCCAGAGCCUGAAUCAGUGUGUGUGUUAGUGGAAGCGUCUGGAAAGGCGUGCGAUACAGGGUGACAGCCCCGUACACAAAAAUGCACAUAUUGUGAGCUCGAUGAGUAGGGCGGGACACGUGGUAUCCUGUCUGAAUAUGGGGGGACCAUCCUCCAAGGCUAAAUACUCCUGACUGACCGAUAGUGAACCAGUACCGUGAGGGAAAGGCGAAAAGAACCCCGGCGAGGGGAGUGAAAAAGAACCUGAAACCGUGUACGUACAAGCAGUGGGAGCCUCUUAAUGGGGUGACUGCGUACCUUUUGUAUAAUGGGUCAGCGACUUAUAUUCUGUAGCAAGGUUAACCGAAUAGGGGAGCCGAAGGGAAACCGAGUCUUAACUGGGCGUUAAGUUGCAGGGUAUAGACCCGAAACCCGGUGAUCUAGCCAUGGGCAGGUUGAAGGUUGGGUAACACUAACUGGAGGACCGAACCGACUAAUGUUGAAAAAUUAGCGGAUGACUUGUGGCUGGGGGUGAAAGGCCAAUCAAACCGGGAGAUAGCUGGUUCUCCCCGAAAGCUAUUUAGGUAGCGCCUCGUGAAUUCAUCUCCGGGGGUAGAGCACUGUUUCGGCAAGGGGGUCAUCCCGACUUACCAACCCGAUGCAAACUGCGAAUACCGGAGAAUGUUAUCACGGGAGACACACGGCGGGUGCUAACGUCCGUCGUGAAGAGGGAAACAACCCAGACCGCCAGCUAAGGUCCCAAAGUCAUGGUUAAGUGGGAAACGAUGUGGGAAGGCCCAGACAGCCAGGAUGUUGGCUUAGAAGCAGCCAUCAUUUAAAGAAAGCGUAAUAGCUCACUGGUCGAGUCGGCCUGCGCGGAAGAUGUAACGGGGCUAAACCAUGCACCGAAGCUGCGGCAGCGACACUAUGUGUUGUUGGGUAGGGGAGCGUUCUGUAAGCCUGUGAAGGUGGCCUGUGAGGGUUGCUGGAGGUAUCAGAAGUGCGAAUGCUGACAUAAGUAACGAUAAAGCGGGUGAAAAGCCCGCUCGCCGGAAGACCAAGGGUUCCUGUCCAACGUUAAUCGGGGCAGGGUGAGUCGACCCCUAAGGCGAGGCCGAAAGGCGUAGUCGAUGGGAAACAGGUUAAUAUUCCUGUACUUGGUGUUACUGCGAAGGGGGGACGGAGAAGGCUAUGUUGGCCGGGCGACGGUUGUCCCGGUUUAAGCGUGUAGGCUGGUUUUCCAGGCAAAUCCGGAAAACCAAGGCUGAGGCGUGAUGACGAGGCACUACGGUGCUGAAGCGACAAAUGCCCUGCUUCCAGGAAAAGCCUCUAAGCAUCAGGUAACAUCAAAUCGUACCCCAAACCGACACAGGUGGUCAGGUAGAGAAUACCAAGGCGCUUGAGAGAACUCGGGUGAAGGAACUAGGCAAAAUGGUGCCGUAACUUCGGGAGAAGGCACGCUGAUAUGUAGGUGAAGCGACUUGCUCGUGGAGCUGAAAUCAGUCGAAGAUACCAGCUGGCUGCAACUGUUUAUUAAAAACACAGCACUGUGCAAACACGAAAGUGGACGUAUACGGUGUGACGCCUGCCCGGUGCCGGAAGGUUAAUUGAUGGGGUUAGCGGUAACGCGAAGCUCUUGAUCGAAGCCCCGGUAAACGGCGGCCGUAACUAUAACGGUCCUAAGGUAGCGAAAUUCCUUGUCGGGUAAGUUCCGACCUGCACGAAUGGCGUAAUGAUGGCCAGGCUGUCUCCACCCGAGACUCAGUGAAAUUGAACUCGCUGUGAAGAUGCAGUGUACCCGCGGCAAGACGGAAAGACCCCGUGAACCUUUACUAUAGCUUGACACUGAACAUUGAGCCUUGAUGUGUAGGAUAGGUGGGAGGCUUUGAAGUGUGGACGCCAGUCUGCAUGGAGCCGACCUUGAAAUACCACCCUUUAAUGUUUGAUGUUCUAACGUUGGCCCGUAAUCCGGGUUGCGGACAGUGUCUGGUGGGUAGUUUGACUGGGGCGGUCUCCUCCUAAAGAGUAACGGAGGAGCACGAAGGUUGGCUAAUCCUGGUCGGACAUCAGGAGGUUAGUGCAAUGGCAUAAGCCAGCUUGACUGCGAGCGUGACGGCGCGAGCAGGUGCGAAAGCAGGUCAUAGUGAUCCGGUGGUUCUGAAUGGAAGGGCCAUCGCUCAACGGAUAAAAGGUACUCCGGGGAUAACAGGCUGAUACCGCCCAAGAGUUCAUAUCGACGGCGGUGUUUGGCACCUCGAUGUCGGCUCAUCACAUCCUGGGGCUGAAGUAGGUCCCAAGGGUAUGGCUGUUCGCCAUUUAAAGUGGUACGCGAGCUGGGUUUAGAACGUCGUGAGACAGUUCGGUCCCUAUCUGCCGUGGGCGCUGGAGAACUGAGGGGGGCUGCUCCUAGUACGAGAGGACCGGAGUGGACGCAUCACUGGUGUUCGGGUUGUCAUGCCAAUGGCACUGCCCGGUAGCUAAAUGCGGAAGAGAUAAGUGCUGAAAGCAUCUAAGCACGAAACUUGCCCCGAGAUGAGUUCUCCCUGAGACUUAGAGUCUCCUGAAGGAACGUUGAAGACGACGACGUUGAUAGGCCGGGUGUGUAAGCGCAGCGAUGCGUUGAGCUAACCGGUACUAAUGAACCGUGAGGCUUAACCUU
rnacentral:rRNA from 1 species